UUCCACGGACCAUGUGUUGCCCGGGGAAGCAUUAGUUGGCGCACUUAGAGUAACACGGGGCAUUCAAGCUCAAGAAGCUGAUCGCUAGAAAUUAAACUUUAUUCCUCUGGAGUCAAUGCGGCUAAUGAGUUCUGACGGCAUUUUUGGGGACUUUGUAAGACGUGUCCACAAUAAAUGGCUGUUGAAACCAA